UACGAAGGGGGCUAGCGUUGUUCGGAAUCACUGGGCGUAAAGCGCACGCAGGCGGAUCGUUAAGUCAGGGGUGAAAUGCCGAGGCUCAACCUCGGAACUGCCUUUGAUACUGGCGAUCUUAGAGUCCGAGAGAGGUGAGUGGAACUCCGAGUGUAGAGGUGAAAUUCGUAGAUAUUCGGAAGAACACCAGUGGCGAAGGCGGCUCACUGGCCCGGUACUGACGCUCAGGUGCGAAAGCGUGGGGAGCAAACAGG
rnacentral:rRNA from 1 species